rnacentral:rRNA from 1 species
GUGGGGUAACGGCCCACCAUGGCGACGAUCAGUAGCCGGACUGAGAGGUUGACCGGCCACAUUGGGACUGAGAUACGGCCCAGACUCCUACGGGAGGCAGCAGUGGGGAAUAUUGGGCAAUGGACGCAAGUCUGACCCAGCAACGCCGCGUGAAGGAUGAAGGCUUUCGGGUUGUAAACUUCUUUUAUUCGGGACGAAGAAAAUGACGGUACCGAAUGAAUAAGCCACGGCUAACUAC